rnacentral:tRNA from 1 species
GGAAGGGUGGCAGAGUGGACGAUUGCGGCGGUCUUGAAAACCGCUGUACCGGAGACGGUACCGUGGGUUCGAAUCCCACCCCUUCCGCCA